AGCGCGCUCGCACUCCCCUGGGUCCCCAGGCCCCUGCGCGGCGCGCGCGCCCCGUGAGCAGCAGGCCCCAGGCCCCAGGCCCCAGCCCCCUCGGCGCGCUGUUAGUGGGGCCCCUCCAGACGCGUCACUCAAGCCCAGCAGCAGCUCUGGCCGAGCAGUAAGGAGCCGGGUGCACGAGAUGCCAUACCACGGCAAGCAUGCAGCCCGCUCAGCUCACCAUCACCGCUGCUGUUGUGUCCUGGGUGCUGCUGUCAGCAGAUGGUGCAGUAUGACUGCUAACUGUCAUCAUCCACUGCUUCCGCUGCAACUCUGCUUUCCUGGUGCCAUGAAUCCACCUCACAGGUCCUCUUGUCGUUCUGUAUAAAUAUCUAUUCUCGUGCCAUCUGUCAUCAUCCACCGCUUCUGCUGCAACUCUGCUCUCCUGCAGACGCCAUACCACGGCAAGUAUGGAGCCUGCUUAGCUCACCACUGCUGUUGUGAGCAUUUUAAACAUCUUGCGCAUCAUCCUGGAGUAUAUGUAGAACCGGGCUAAGAGACGCCAGCAUGAGGACAAUUUUGAUGAGGACAUUGACACAGACGUUCCUGAAAGCACAGGGACAUCAUGGUGGCGGUGGGGCUGGGGCCCGGCAAACAAGCCCAGACUGGUGGGACCGCAUAGUGUUGCAGGUAUGGGAUGAUUCACAGUGGCUGUGAAACUUUUGCAUGCAUAAGGCCACUUUCCUGGAACUCUGUGAGUUGCUUUCCCCCACCCUGAAGCACAGGAAUACCAAGAUGAGAGCUGCCCUGAUAGCUGAGAAGUGAGUGGCGAUAGCCCUGUGGAAGCUUGCUACGCCUGACUACUACCGGUCAGUUGGGAAUCAAUUUGGAGUGGGCAAAUCUACUGUGGGGGUUGCUGUGAUCCAAGUAGCCAAUGCAAUCAUUGACAUUCUGUUAUCAAGGGUAAUGACUCUGGGAAAUGUGCAGGUCAUAGUGGAUGGCUUUGCUGUAAUGAGUUUCCCUAACUGUGGUGAGGCAAUAGACAGAACUCAUAUCCCUAUCUUAGCACUGGACCACCUUGCCAACCAGUAUGUAAACCGGAAGGGGUACUUCUCAAUGGUGCUGCAAGCGCUGAUGGAUCACAAGGGACAUUUCACCGACAUCAACAUGGAAAGGUGCAUGACGCUCGCAUCUUUAGGAACUCCAGGCUGUUCGAGCUGCUGCAAGAAGGGAUUUACUUCCCAGACCAGAAAAUUACCAUUGAGGAUGUUGAAAUGCCAGUAGUUAUCCUUGGGGACCCAGCCUACCCCUUGCUCCCUUGGCUCAUGAAGCCGUACACAGGCAGCCUGGACAGUAGUAAGGAGCAGUUCAACUAUAGGCUGAGCAAGUGCAGAAUGGUGGUAGAACAUGCCUUUGGGCAUUUAAAAGCUCGCUGGCGCUGUUUGCUGACUAGGUCAGACCUCAGCGCAACCAACAUUCCCAUUUUUAUUGCUGCUUGCUGUGUGCUCCAUAAUAUCUGAGAGAGUGCAUUUACCAGCACAACAUCCUUGUGAGGUAGACAGUGAUAUUCUCCUCAUUUUACAGAAGGAGGACUGAGGCAGAGCAGCAAGUGACUUGUCCAAGGUCUCAGAAGAAGUUCAUGAUUAGGGCCCUACCAAAUUCACAGUGCAUUUUGGUGAAUUUCAUGGUCAUAGGAUUUUAAAAAUCAUAAAUUUCAUGAUUUCAUCUGUUUAAAUCUGAAAUGUCAUGGUGUUGUAAUUGUAGGGAUCCUGACCCAAAAAGGAGUUGGGGGUGGGGUUCAUAAGGUUAUUGUCGGGGAGGUUGUGGUACUGCUACCCUUACUUCUGUGUUGUUGCUGGCGGCGGGGCUGCCUUCAGAGCUGAGCAGCUGGAGAGCGGCAGCUGCUGGUCGGGAGCCCAGCUCUGAAGGCAGAGCCGCUGCCAGCAGCAGCGCAGAAGUAAGGGUGGCCUGGGAUGAUAUUUCUGCGCUGCUGCUGGUGGGGCGCUGCCUUUAGAGCUGGGUGUUUGGACAACAGCCAUUGCUCUCCGGCUGCCCAGCUCUGAAGUCAGCGCAGAAGUGAGGGUGGCAAUACUGUUACUCCCCUAAAAUAACCUUGUGAUCCCCCUGCAACUCCUUUUUGGGUCAGGACCCCCAAUUUGAGAAACACUGGUCUCCCCCAUGAAACCUGUAUAGUAUAAGGUAAAAGCCCACAAAAGACCAGAUUUCAUGGUGGGGAGACCAGAUUUCACGGUCUGUGACAUGUUUUUCAUGGCUGUGAAUUUGGUAGGGCCCUAUCUAUGGAGGAGCAAGGGAAUUGAAUUUGGGUCUCAUGUUCCAGGCUAGCAUCCCAACCACUGAACCAUUCCUUCUCUCUCCCCACUUCAAACUUUUUUUUACCAUGAAACCAGAGUUUAAGAAGCCAUGACAUUAAGCCUGGUUUAAUAAAUCACAGACCUCACAAUCAGCAAUGGGGUUUAACUUCUUUCAUGCAAAAUAUUAAAAUGGUGGUUAAGCGAAAAGGGAUUUUCUACCUGUUAACAUCCUGGAUUUAACUAUUUUACUUAUAUGGGCGUGUCCUCUUUUACAAGAAUACUCAAUAGUGGAAAGAAGAAGUUACUCACCUUGUGCAGUAACAUUAGUUCUUUGAGAUGUGUGUCCCUGUGGGUGCUCCACUUUAGGUGUCGGUGCGUCCCUGCGCCGGAGAUGGGAGAUUUUAAGUAGCAGCGCUUGGUCAGGGCAUGUGUGCGCAGCAGCUGUCUCACGGUGUUGUUGGUGCCUCUUGUAGUGCGUGCACGACCCGACUCCUCAGUUCCUUCUCUACUGUCCUCGGCUGCAGUCAAAUGAUGACUUCUCUAAUUAUGGCAAACUGCAGGAACUCUUAGGGGAUCUUCCUGAAGACAAACAUCCCCAGCUCAAGGCUGUCAUGACCGGGGGACAAAUAAUAGCCUGCACAGCUCUACAGGCCUCAAUGGAUGUGGCAGACACAGCCGUAUGAACAAUGGCCACAGCAUCUCUUAAAACUGGGUGAGCCUGGCAUUGUGGCUGAUGACGUUUCCCGCAACUGGGAAAGGAAAUGUGAAGAAAAAUAUAGAAAUUGGUUAAAAGAAAACUCUAUUUCUACUGCUAAACUAAAACUGACGGGAAAGAGAUUUUUUUUUAAAUAACUGGCUAAGUAAAGUCUAAUCAAACUACCUAAGAGCUAAGAAGCUAAAAUUACGAUGUAAACGAUUUUCUUUUCUAGCAAUGUUCGAAGAGGCAGCACUGCCACUAAGCUCUGUCUGCAGCCGAGGAGGGCAGAGAAGGAACUGAGGGGUCGGGUCGUACGCGCGCUACACGAGCCGCCACCAACACCGUGAGACAGCUGCUGCGCGCGCGAGCCCCGACCGAGCACUGCUACCUAAAAUCUCUGGCGCACCGACACCUAGAAUGGAGCAUGCAAGGGGCACUACUCAAAGAAGCAGCAGCAUUCAGCAUCAGAUGCUGAUCUUAUGGCUGGAGUUGGAGCCAGAGAGGAACCACGCUUUGAGAUGGAGUUUCGCUGGGUCUGGAUGGAGCAUCAGGCCCUCGUUCUGGGACAGAAGGUCCGUCCAGAAAGGCAGCGGUUGUGGAGCACAGACGUAAGAGACAUAAUAGCUACCUGCUUAGCUUUCUCCUUCAAGACAAUAAGCUGGGAUCUGUUGAAACUCAUCACAGUCCCAAGGAAUUCCACAUUUUUGGUAAAAGUAUCUGUAUCCAGGCACUGCAGUUCCUG